CUUAAUUAACUCAUUGCAGCAUUUAGAGGAAGUGAUCUUAGAUCUCAGAUCACUUCCUCCCAGCACUUGUGAAUGAGAAUCCGCACUGGAGUAAAUCUGUGCUGCCCUUGACCUGUACCUGGCCACCACAGUCCCCACUGGACCCCAGCGAAGCCACCCACACUGCUACAUAUAGACAGAGCUGCAGAAGUAGCCUCCUCGUCAUUCAAAUAAUACAAACAGCCCACAAACAAACACACACACAGUCCCCACAAACACAGCAACACUGACAAUUCACAUUCAUGCGCACAAACCCAAAAGCAGCCUAAUAAGCAAUACCACAAAUAGCCCCACACAUACACACUACCAAACACUAUGUGACAUAUCAUCCACAACACAAUUCCACAAGCAGCCCCCAUACACAGCCCACAUUCAUAGGUAUUAUUCACAAUACCACAAACUACUCACAAACACAUACAAUAUUACAGCCAAUAUAUGUGCAAAUAGAACGCUACAAAACAACUGAUAGCACCCAUACAUAACACAAGGAGAAUGCGUGCAACAUGCACACCGGCACACCAAGGGACAUCAAGAUUUUCUUUUGGCCCAAUGCUACCCCUGUUCUAG